CUACUCUGGUCUCUCUUCAUUACGCACAAGUCUUUCGCCUUUUACUAAAGACUUCCGUGGAGAGUGACGCAAUGAGUGCAACUUAUUUUUGGCAGGCUCUGCCCUGUUGCAGAGCC
rnacentral:snRNA from 1 species